rnacentral:lncRNA from 1 species
GUCCCUUCUAACUUUGUCCCAGAAAAAUCUCCAGGGAAAUGAAAUCAAGCGGUUUUCCAGAUUCACUUUUCAAAAUUAGUCCUGGGCUGGCCUUCAACAAGGCAAACACAUUCUGUGCAGUUACGGGAGAGAACAGCACAGCAUUCCUGGACCAAGACUUAGAGCCAGAAGCCAGACAUGCUGAUCAAGCUGAAGACAGAGGUGCUCAAAUCCUCAUCACAACAAUGUUCAUUGAAGCCUUACAGUCUUCAAGGAAACCUUCAGACUUUCCUUUGUGCAAACAUCCUUCUGAGCUUGGCUCCAAUCCUCCUCCACCUCGACAUCCAGGUCUCUCCCGUGUGUAUGAUAUACAAGAGCCACAGUCUACUGCACGCUGCUCCCGUCUCUGCACCAGGGAUCCGAGCUCCCAAACUUUCGGGCUUCUGCAUAUGCUGUAGUUUCCUUGGGAGUAGCAUCCCACCCACCUUUCAUCUGCCUAAUUCCUACUCAUCCUUAAUGCUUCCCUUGGGAUUUCCCCACAGAGUGGAAUUCAGAAGGCGGCCCUGCUAUGCCAUCACCUCCUCCCGCAGCCCCCUGCAUGGUUGCUGUUGGCUUCUUUCUGUCCCCCUAGAGAGUUUCUGCCUCCUUGAAGGCGAACUCCUUGUUUAGCCCCCACCCACCUCUUCCCACUUCCCAGGCGCUGUCUGUGUCCAACCUACAGUGAAGACAUUAAUAGGCAAUUAGAC